CCCUCUCUGAGUGCCUGUGUCCUGGGCUGAAUUGUGUUCCCCAAAAGGUAUGUUGGGUUCCUAAUCCUCAGUACCCGAGGCUGUAACUUUAUUUGGAGAUAGGGUCUUUAUAGAGGAAAUCAAGAUAAAACAAGGUCCUUAGUGGGGGCCCUAAUCCAAUACGACCGGUGUCCUUAGGAAAAGGGAAGAAUUUGGACACAGAGACGUGCACAGUGAGAACACCAACAUGAAGACAAAAGUCAAGCUGCCACAAGCCAAGGAACUACCAGCACCAGCAGAGAGGCCUGGAUUGGAACUUUCCCUGAUGCCCCUGGAAGGAGCAUGGCCCUGCUGCCACCUUGAUCUUGGACUUCUAGCCUCCAGAACUGUGAGACCAUAUAGUCCUAAGCCAUUCAGUUUGUGGGACCUUGUUAUGAUAACCCUAGCACACUAAUACUUCUUUCAACAUAUCAGUGCCCUUAUCUCGUUAGUUCUGAUAUCCCCUCCCUCUCAACUAUAAGCCCCUUGAAAGCAGAGAUGGCUUUAGUCAUCUUUGUACCUCACCUAAUGACCCCUAAAAGUUUGUUGAGUGAAUCGGUGAUGGCAGUGUAUUCCCCAGUUUCCUGAAUUUACUCAUAGAAAUAGGACCAGGUGGCCCAAACCAAAAAAUGCCCUGGGGCUUAGCCUGGUUGCUGUGAUCCACUCUGCCCACAGCUGUCCAUGAGUUUCCUUAAUAGCUACAGGAAUGAUGAGUACCCUGUUUCCAGCUGGGAUUAAGUGGUCAUCAAAUUGUGUGCAUUCCUUCAGUCAGUUCCUUGACAACUGCUGAAUGACUAGGAACCAGGUUCUGUGCUAGGAACUGGGGAUACAGUGGUAAAGACAAGCCCAGGCCAAUGGAGUUUCUACACUAACAGGAGAGACAGAUUAAGUAAUGAUGUAAUUAGAGUGAUGGUAAGUGCUGAGAAGCAGCACAGGAUACCAGGAGAAUAAUUAACAGAAGAAUCUGGUGAAUUCUAGAACGCAUCUCCGACAGAGUGAUGUUGGAGCUGGGCAAAAGGGAUUCAGUAAGCUAGUAAGCUAGACAAGAUGGUAGCAGAAGCAUGAUCCCCGUGGAGGGCACAGCCCAUGUGAAAGCCAUUGGUUCGACAAUUAUUUGUGGAGCCCUUCCUAUGGGCCAAGCAGGUGUUCUAGAUCCCAGGCCCACAGCAGAGAAAACAACUGAUACAAAUCCCAGCUAUCGCGAAGCUUGCAUUCAAGAAGCCAGAGGGAAGGGCAGGAGGAAAAAGCAUGGCGGGUGUCUUCAAGGAAAGGAAGUGCAACAGGUCUGACCCACCGAAUCUGCUUUGAUCACCGCUGGACUUCCCACACAGAGAACAGUGCCUGCACACGAUGCAUCAGAAGGCAGCAAGGGGAAAAUUGCGGAAGAGCAGGGGAGAAAAUAACACUGCACGCAAGCGUCUUUGUGGACCGGCAAAUUCAUCUCUGGAAAAUGCCCUAGACCGUGAACCAAGAUCAACUUUUUUUAUGAGACGGGAAACAAACAAUCAUGCAGGCAAACUCCAACUACCACCAGCUGGUUUUUCCUCCCCUGAUUAUGUGUUAUUUCCUUAAAGCUCUGGUUGGUAAAC